rnacentral:rRNA from 2 species
UGGGGAAUAUUGGACAAUGGGCGCAAGCCUGAUCCAGCCAUGCCGCGUGAGUGAUGAAGGCCUUAGGGUUGUAAAGCUCUUUCAGUGGGGACGAUAAUGACGGUACCCACAGAAGAAGCCCCGGCUAACUUCGUGCCAGCAGCCGCGGUAAUACGAAGGGGGCUAGCGUUGUUCGGAUUUACUGGGCGUAAAGCGCACGUAGGCGGAUCGUUAAGUCGGGGGUGAAAUCCUGGAGCUCAACUCCAGAACUGCCUUCGAUACUGGCGAUCUUGAGUCCGGAAGAGGUGAGUGGAACUCCUAGUGUAGAGGUGGAAUUCGUAGAUAUUAGGAAGAACACCAGUGGCGAAGGCGGCUCACUGGUCCGGUACUGACGCUGAGGUGCGAAAGCGUGGGGAGCAAACA